ACGUAGGGGGCAAGCGUUGUCCGGAAUUACUGGGCGUAAAGGGUGCGUAGGCGGUUGCCUAAGUCAGAUGUGAAAUCCCCGGGCUUAACUCGGGUGGUGCAUUUGAAACUGGGUUACUAGAGUGCAGGAGAGGAAAGCGGAAUUCCUAGUGUAGCGGUGAAAUGCGUAGAUAUUAGGAGGAACACCAGUGGCGAAGGCGGCUUUCUGGACUGUAACUGACGCUGAGGCACGAAAGCGUGGGGAGCAAACAG
rnacentral:rRNA from 1 species